rnacentral:rRNA from 1 species
CACUAUCGUUAACUGAAUACAUAGGUUAACGAGGCGAACCGGGGGAACUGAAACAUCUAAGUACCCCGAGGAAAAGAAAUCAACCGAGAUUCCCCCAGUAGCGGCGAGCGAACGGGGAGCAGCCCAGAGUCUGAAUCAGCUUGUGUGUUAGUGGAACGGUCUGGAAAGUCCGACGGUACAGGGUGAUAGUCCCGUACACCAAAAUGCACAGGUUGUGAACUCGAAGAGUAGGGCGGGACACGUGGUAUCCUGUCUGAAUAUGGGGGGACCAUCCUCCAAGGCUAAAUACUCCUGACUGACCGAUAGUGAACCAGUACCGUGAGGGAAAGGCGAAAAGAACCCCGGCGAGGGGAGUGAAAAAGAACCUGAAACCGUGUACGUACAAGCAGUGGGAGCACCUUCGGGUGUGACUGCGUACCUUUUGUAUAAUGGGUCAGCGACUUAUAUUCUGUAGCAAGGUUAACCGUAUAGGGGAGCCGCAGGGAAACCGAGUCUUAACUGGGCGUUAAGUUGCAGGGUAUAGACCCGAAACCCGGUGAUCUAGCCAUGGGCAGGUUGAAGGUUGGGUAACACUAACUGGAGGACCGAACCGACUAAUGUUGAAAAAUUAGCGGAUGACUUGUGGCUGGGGGUGAAAGGCCAAUCAAACCGGGAGAUAGCUGGUUCUCCCCGAAAGCUAUUUAGGUAGCGCCUCGUGAAUUCAUCUUCGGGGGUAGAGCACUGUUUCGGCUAGGGGGUCAUCCCGACUUACCAACCCGAUGCAAACUACGAAUACCGAAGAAUGUUAUCACGGGAGACACACGGCGGGUGCUAACGUCCGUCGUGAAGAGGGAAACAACCCAGACCGCCAGCUAAGGUCCCAAAGUCAUGGUUAAGUGGGAAACGAUGUGGGAAGGCACAGACAGCCAGGAUGUUGGCUUAGAAGCAGCCAUCAUUUAAAGAAAGCGUAAUAGCUCACUGGUCGAGUCGGCCUGCGCGGAAGAUGUAACGGGGCUAAACCAUGCACCGAAGCUGCGGCAGCGACACUAUGUGUUGUUGGGUAGGGGAGCGUUCUGUAAGCCUGCGAAGGUGUGCUGUGAGGCAUGCUGGAGGUAUCAGAAGUGCGAAUGCUGACAUAAGUAACGAUAAAGCGGGUGAAAAGCCCGCUCGCCGGAAGACCAAGGGUUCCUGUCCAACGUUAAUCGGGGCAGGGUGAGUCGACCCCUAAGGCGAGGCCGAAAGGCGUAGUCGAUGGGAAACAGGUUAAUAUUCCUGUACUUGGUGUUACUGCGAAGGGGGGACGGAGAAGGCUAUGUUAGCCGGGCGACGGUUGUCCCGGUUUAAGCAUGUAGGCUGGUUGUCCAGGCAAAUCCGGAUAAUCAAGGCUGAGGUGUGAUGACGAGGCACUACGGUGCUGAAGUAACAAAUGCCCUGCUUCCAGGAAAAGCCUCUAAGCAUCAGGUAACAUCAAAUCGUACCCCAAACCGACACAGGUGGUCAGGUAGAGAAUACCAAGGCGCUUGAGAGAACUCGGGUGAAGGAACUAGGCAAAAUGGUGCCGUAACUUCGGGAGAAGGCACGCUGGUGUGUAGGUGAAGUCCCUGCGGAUGGAGCUGAGACCAGUCGAAGAUACCAGCUGGCUGCAACUGUUUAUUAAAAACACAGCACUGUGCAAACACGAAAGUGGACGUAUACGGUGUGACGCCUGCCCGGUGCCGGAAGGUUAAUUGAUGGGGUUAUCCGUAAGGAGAAGCUCUUGAUCGAAGCCCCGGUAAACGGCGGCCGUAACUAUAACGGUCCUAAGGUAGCGAAAUUCCUUGUCGGGUAAGUUCCGACCUGCACGAAUGGCGUAAUGAUGGCCAGGCUGUCUCCACCCGAGACUCAGUGAAAUUGAACUCGCUGUGAAGAUGCAGUGUACCCGCGGCAAGACGGAAAGACCCCGUGAACCUUUACUAUAGCUUGACACUGAACAUUGAGCCUUGAUGUGUAGGAUAGGUGGGAGGCUUUGAAGCGUGGACGCCAGUCUGCGUGGAGCCAACCUUGAAAUACCACCCUUUAAUGUUUGAUGUUCUAACGUUGGCCCCUUACCGGGGUUGCGGACAGUGUCUGGUGGGUAGUUUGACUGGGGCGGUCUCCUCCCAAAGCGUAACGGAGGAGCACGAAGGUUAGCUAAUCCUGGUCGGACAUCAGGAGGUUAGUGCAAUGGCAUAAGCUAGCUUGACUGCGAGCGUGACGGCGCGAGCAGGUGCGAAAGCAGGUCAUAGUGAUCCGGUGGUUCUGAAUGGAAGGGCCAUCGCUCAACGGAUAAAAGGUACUCCGGGGAUAACAGGCUGAUACCGCCCAAGAGUUCAUAUCGACGGCGGUGUUUGGCACCUCGAUGUCGGCUCAUCACAUCCUGGGGCUGAAGUAGGUCCCAAGGGUAUGGCUGUUCGCCAUUUAAAGUGGUACGCGAGCUGGGUUUAGAACGUCGUGAGACAGUUCGGUCCCUAUCUGCCGUGGGCGCUGGAGAAUUGAGGGGGGCUGCUCCUAGUACGAGAGGACCGGAGUGGACGCAUCACUGGUGUUCGGGUUGUCAUGCCAAUGGCACUGCCCGGUAGCUAAAUGCGGAAGAGAUAAGUGCUGAAAGCAUCUAAGCACGAAACUUGCCCCGAGAUGAGUUCUCCCUGAGACUUUAAGUCUCCUGAAGGAACGUUGAAGACGACGACGUUGAUAGGCCGGGUGUGUAAGCGCAGCGAUGCGUUGAGCUAACCGGUACUAAUGAACCGUGAGGCUUAACCUU